rnacentral:ncRNA from 1 species
UUAAGUGUGUUGAAGAAGAGGAGUAAAUAGUAUUUUAAAUUUAAGAGAUCUGGGGAUGGUGGAAGCCUAGAAUUUAGAACUAUUGAAGGAAGCUUUGGAGUAAUAAAUAGAAAGCCGUUUGGCGUAGUAUAUUUAUGGGGUUAUUCCCUUAAAGAUAAUUGAGUGGAUUAAGUUAUUUUCAUAGCUUGGUCAAUCUAGGUGGUAACGCGGAAGAUGAUAUGCCUUUCGUCCUAAGU